GCCGGGCAUGGUGGCGCAUGCCUGUAAUCCCAGCUACUCGGGAGGCUGAGGCAGGAGGAUUGCUUGAGCCCAGGAGUUUGAGGUUGCUGUGAGCUAGGCUGAUGCCACAGCACUCACUCUAGUCUAGGCAACAAAGCGAGACUCUGUCUCAAAAAAAAAAAACAACCAGUUAAGAUGGCCUGUAAUCCUAGUACUCUGGGAGGCCUAGGCAGGAGGAUUGCUCAAGGUCAGGAGUUAGAAACCCACCUGAGCAAGAGCAAGACCCCGUCUCU
rnacentral:sRNA from 1 species